rnacentral:tRNA from 2 species
AGGGAGACCUAAUUCGGGUAGGAGACGAAAAAAAAGUAGUCGCUACCAAGAAUCAAUCCCAAAAGGUCGGAGCGAGGCAAGAUUGGCUUUCAAACUAGGUUCUGGGUUCACACAAGACCUGAAUCAGGAACAAGGGCUAUUAGCUCAGGUGGUUAGAGCGCACCCCUGAUAAGGGUGAGGUCCCUGGUUCGAGUCCAGGAUGGCCCACCUGCACAGGUGGCAAAAACAAAGAAAAAAAGCUCCGAAUCAGCACCUUAUCUUACUUAUAUAGUAAGAGAGAAUGCUGGCUCUGAGUACAGAGUCCAGAGGAACCUUGAAAACUGCAUAGAGCUAGGUGAAAAAGCCAAAAAAGAAGACCGCAAGGUCAAGCUAAUAAGGGCUAACGGUGGAUACCUAG